ensembl:lincRNA
AGAAUUAAUUCAUCCGUGGAACGAGAGCCACUUGUGUAAUUAGACACUGUUGUAAAUAUCAGUAUUUGCAUUCUACUUUUCAGAUGGUUCUGGGUUCGGAGUGAUAAAGAAGCAACUAUAGGGGCUGGGGAUUUAGCUCAGCGGCACAGCGCCUGCCUGGCAAGCACAAAGUCGUGAGUUUGAUUCCUGGUACCGGGAAAAAAAAAUCAAACCAACAACUCCCCUCCCCCGCCCCCUUGCAAAAAAGAAGCAACUAUGAAAUCACAGUGUUCAGCCCGGUUUUCAGUUCCUGUCCAUCUUCGCUGUGCUUUCUUUCUAGAGCAGUCGUGUGAACCAGGCUGAGCGGAAUCCCUUGAGUUACAAUGUGCAAAUGAAGUCUACAUUUGAAUAUCACCCUGCCCCCAGCGUGGCCUGCGUCCGGUGCCAGUGGAAGCGAGAGCACAAAGGCCACCGGCUCAGCACACCGUUAAGUUCCAGAGCUCCCUGUGGAGCGGCUGAGUCCUGUGACACAGUCGGCUUCUCCCUCUUCCCAGCGAUGCCCUCCGCACUCCCUUCCAGGUAUUGUUUCCAGGACAUCGCUGCGGCAAGCCCUGCGGUGCCCCACCCAGAUGUCCCUUCGGCAGCGGAGCGGUAGUUAUCACGGCUCCGUGGAAAAGACACUAAGACAGAGAAAGUUGUAGUCCUCCUCCAGAAACCCAGGGUCAUCUGUGGAGGUCAGGAAACAAAUAAAUACCCGGGUAAAUUCCAGCCCGGUGGCCUGCUGAGCCCAUAAUCCCAGCCACGAUUAUUUCUCAAAUCCCCAAGUCUUAGUAGCAUCAUGGACAUAUGAGUGAUUUGAGAACCCCUGCCAAGCACAUACACACUGUUUCACGGACCUGUCAGGAAAGAGAUUAUAACAGAGAAAGCUGAGUGGAAACCUCCAAAACUGCUCCCUUUCUCCAAUCAGCCAUGAAACAAAGUUUCCAGAACUUGAUGGUGCACGCCUAUAAUUCUAGCACUCAGAAGGCUGAGGCAGGAGGAUCACAGUUUUAAAAUUAACUUGGCUGCAUAUCCAGUUCAUGGCCAGCCUGGACUACAUAAUGAGACACUGUCCCAAAAGAACAACAAAGUUCUUGGGAAAAGAGGGAAAGCAAAGCAAGAUUACUAUCAAAGACCUAAAGGAUGUAGGAGUGGAGCCCAUUACUCACUACUGUAUCUUCAUUUAGUUCAUCAGUCUGGCUUCUACAGACAUUGGAUGGUUCUGGAAAAUAAUUUCAGAAAAUCACCAGCUCAGCUGGGUGUAGCGAUGUACACCCAUAAUCCCAGCACUCAGGAGGCUGAGGCAGGAAGAUCGCUGUAAGCUUGAGGCCAGCCUGUGCCACACAGUGAGUUCAAGGCCAGGCUGAACUACAUAGUGAGAUCCUGUCUCAGAACAACAACAGCACAAAAAACACUAAGUUAAAGUGAUACCCUUGAUUAUUUGGUGUUAUUGCUAGAUAAAUAAGAUAAAACAAGGCAAGGAGCUUUCAGGUACAUGGCCUGAGGACACUGAGUUGGGGAAUGCAAUCUUUUCCAACUAGAAGGAAGAUCAGAGAUAGUUUGAUUUCAUGUGACAUGAAUAUCAUUCAGUGGCACCUGUGACCCAGGGCAAUGUUCAUCCUCUACCCUUUCUCAUAAUCUCAAGCUAUUUGCAU